UUGUAAAAAUCACAUAGAUUAGUAGUAGUUUAGAAUAUAGAUUUUUAUAAGUUUGUGUAGAGACAUGCAUGUUUCGUAAUGUAAUUCUUAUUUUAUAACUCUUUACCGGAGCGUAGCCUGUAUCUUAGAUUGUCGAUUCGAGCGUACAUUAAUAGUAGUUUAGUUUAGAAUAUAAUAUAUAUAUAUAGACAUGCAUACAUGCAUGUUUCGUAAUGUAGUUCAUAUUUUAUAAUUCUUUACCGGAACGUAGGCUAGUUUCAAAUAUGUAUCUGUUUAAUAGAAUGCGCACACAUAUAUAUAUGUUUCUGAC